UGGGGAAUAUUGCACAAUGGGCGAAAGCCUGAUGCAGCAACGCCGCGUGAGGGACGACGGCCUUCGGGUUGUAAACCUCUUUUAGCAAGGAAGAAGCGAAAGUGACGGUACUUGCAGAAAAAGCGCCGGCUAACUACGUGCCAGCAGCCGCGGUAAUACGUAGGGCGCAAGCGUUAUCCGGAAUUAUUGGGCGUAAANAGCUCGUAGGCGGUUUGUCGCGUCUGCUGUGAAAACCCGAGGCUCAACCUCGGGCCUGCAGUGGGUACGGGCAGACUAGAGUGCGGUAGGGGAGAUUGGAACUCCUGGUGUAGCGGUGGAAUGCGCAGAUAUCAGGAAGAACACCGAU
rnacentral:rRNA from 1 species